GGGGAUAUGGCUCAGUGGUAGAGUGCUUGCCUAGCAUGCACAAGGCACAGGGUUCAAUUCCCAGCACUGCCA
rnacentral:tRNA from 1 species